UCAGUCUGGGUUUAAAAAUAUUUUCCUUGGUGGAUAGCUCUGGUGUGCAUUAGCUAAUGCUAGCACGUGGAUUAAUAUAUUUGUUAGCUAACGUUAAUCAGCAUUUUAAUAGCUUCAUAAUCGAGACAGCAACUUGCGUCUGCCUUAAAUAGUGUUACAAAAGAAACGCAAUUAAUGUUACAGUAAUGUAUUGCUUUUUGCUGUAAGGCAUUUUUUUAAUUUUACUAAAAUUUCUGUAAUAUACAUUCUCAGUAACCUGUUGCUGGAAUUUGAUGCACGAGAUUUUAUCAAGGCAGCCUGUGCAUGUGUGUGUAUGAGCCUUCAAUUCUGCUUUUGCACUGUUGAAAUGACCAGUGAGGUCUUUAUCACAGUAAUAAAUGCAACUAAUAUGUUGCUGUCUGUGUGCUAAAUGUUCACAUUUUUAUAGUCUACCUUAAUACUCACAUGUCCAUGUUUACAGGAAGUUAUUGCUCACUGUAAUCAUCAUUCCUGCCCAUGUAGUCUGUAAAGACAUCACCACAGUUGUCAUUUUUGUAUAAAUUCAUUCUAAAGUUUAGCUGAAGCUACUAUGAAUCAUCAGCUAAGCAUCUGCAUUAGACUAGUCAAAAGUGGAUAUCUUCUAAAGGUACACUGUUUUUUAGAGAUUUCUCUUCACUGCAUCCAUGGAGGGGGUAAUCAUUACAGUGACCAAUCCCUCAGCACUCAGAUAUAACAGUAAUGUUAAAGUGUACACGCAUAUGUGAGAAUUGUUUUAAGACACUCUUGAAAUAAUGUUUUUGUGUACUAAUGCCUGACCACACAAUAUAAUAGCAUGUGAUGUUAUGUAAAAUAUUGCUCAACUUUAUGUACAUUUGUAUGGUCAUAGAUCCUGUAUUCAACUUUUAAAAGUUGAACCUACCCUUUGCCAACUUUAACCAACUUAUAUUAAACCCAGAUUUGGAAUUUCCUGCCUUAGCUCAAGAAAAUUAAAUAAAGAAUAAUAAUAAUAAAGAUUUGCUAUAAGAAUAGAAUUACAGUGUUUAUAAUGAUACGCAAAUGAAGAACUAAACUAGGUGGAAGUACUGGUCUAACUGAAUAUUUAUUAUAUCUCAUUUGCAACUGCAUUUCUUUUCUUUUAGAGUUUCCUGGGAUUGUUGCCUCACUGAGAGGGCUUAGAGGUCACGAAAACCUCAAAGGACCAGCUGGACCCUCACAAGCUCAAUGUGCUUAGUUAUGUCUGGCUCCCGCACGCGAUCACUGUUUUUGCUCUCACUACAUCUCAACGGGAUGCUGUGUGAUAAAGCAGUUUCCAAAUCCCAUAGUGUCUGCAGUCGCAGAAAAUGCAACGAGUCCUACUCAAAGUCAGUACCUUCCACUCCAAGGAUAAGGAUUGUGACAUUUUUCUGUUUCAGCUUGGUUCCACCAUUUGUACUGUAUGCUUGUGACGGAGUACCUUCACUACAGUUGAAUAAGCGCUUGGACUGCCAUACCAACAAGCCUGGCUCUUUGGCGUUGCUGUCAAAGUUGCUUGUUUGGUAACCUGUCGACCUGUGUUCAAAUCUGGGCAGGGUGACUGCUCUUGCCUUUGGCCGCAUAUGGUGUCAGGAGUGGGACGGCUUGCCAUGAGGUCAUCUGAGUCAGGCCCAGUGUCCGAGCCGUAUGAGGGACCCCAUGGGUAUUUUGGGCAAGAUGUGAU